UACAGAGGUCCCAAGCGUUGUUCGGAUUCAUUGGGCGUAAAGGGUGCGUAGGUGGCGCCGUAAGUCAGGUGUGAAAUCUCGGGGCUUAACUCCGAAACUGCAUUUGAUACUGCGGUGCUUGAGGACUGGAGAGGAGACUGGAAUUUACGGUGUAGCGGUGAAAUGCGCAGAUAUCGGGAGGAACACCUAUGGCGGAAGGCAGCUCGCUGGGACGUUACUGACGCUGAGACGCGAAAGCGUGGGGGAGCAAACAGG
rnacentral:rRNA from 1 species